AAAAAUCGGGUGUUCCGGGGGAAAGAUCCUUUACACAACAUGAGAAGCGAAUGUUCUAAAAUUACAAAAAUUUACAAUAACGACAACGAUUCCUCGAAAUUUUUGUGAACUUGGCAAAAGGAAAAAAGAAUAUUUAAAGAAAGUAAAAAAAAUUGCUUAAAUAACCUUCAAAGCACUGACUAAGUACAAUAAAUCACUGCGAACAUAAAUCGUAUAAACCCCCCGGAAAGUUUACUCAACGACUGAUUGCCUGACUGACUGAUUGCCUGUCUGACUGAUUCGUGUGAAUUCGCCAGCCAUCACAACAGUGUGAAGUGAAACUUCACACUAAAAACGGAUACAAAUAGGUGGUUUGCGAAAUGGAGAGCAAUUUCAAAUCUGUUCAGUUUUUUUAUACACCCUGUAGUGUUUAGGAAACAAAGAAAUACGCUACGUUUCAGUACGAUACGGUUGAAGUGGAAAACGGGCUUAUAAAAAAUGGUUAAAACCCGCAGGAGCAUAACUCGUUUAAAAAUCAGUAAUUACCGCAAAAUUUUUCGUGAGAAAAUUGAAUUUGAAUAUUACAUUUUCAAUGUUUUUCUUAUUGCAGCGAA